rnacentral:rRNA from 1 species
UACGGAGGGUGCAAGCGUUAUCCGGAUUCACUGGGUUUAAAGGGUGCGUAGGCGGGCAGGUAAGUCAGUGGUGAAAUCCUAGAGCCUAACUCUAGAACUGCCAUUGAUACUAUCUGUCUUGAAUAUUGUGGAGGUAAGCGGAAUAUGUCAUGUAGCGGUGAAAUGCUUAGAUAUGACAUAGAACACCUAUUGCGAAGGCAGCUUACUACGCAUAUAUUGACGCUGAGGCACGAAAGCGUGGGGGAUCAAAACAGG